rnacentral:rRNA from 1 species
CCUACGGGGGGCAGCAGUGAGGAAUAUUGGUCAAUGGGCGAGAGCCUGAACCAGCCAAGUCGCGUGAAGGAUGACUGCCCUAUGGGUUGUAAACUUCUUUUACAGGGGAAUAAAAUGAGAUACGUGUAUUUUAUUGCAUGUACCUUGUGAAUAAGCAUCGGCUAACUCCGUGCCAGCAGCCGCGGUAAUACGGAGGAUGCGAGCGUUAUCCGGAUUUAUUGGGUUUAAAGGGUGCGUAGGUGGGCUGUUAAGUCCGCGGUGAAAGUUUGUCGCUUAACGAUAAAAUUGCCGUUGAAACUGGUAGUCUUGAGUAUAGAUGAAGUAGGCGGAAUGCGUGGUGUAGCGGUGAAAUGCAUAGAGAUCACGCAGAACUCCGAUUGCGAAGGCAGCUUACUAAGGUAUAACUGACACUGAAGCACGAAAGCGUGGGUAUCAAACAGGAUUAGAUACCCGGGUAGUC